CCUUAUCUGGAUCGGGUUUCGCUGGCUAACGUGUUGUAAAAAAUGCGAGCUCUGCAAGCAAUAUCUUUCAAUUCGUUGUCGACGAAACCUGCACGGAAUAAGG
rnacentral:pre_miRNA from 1 species